rnacentral:lncRNA from 1 species
AUCCCAGUCCCAGAUCCCAGUCACAGAUCCCGUCAUACGAUCCAGUUCACAGAUCCCGUCCACGAUCCCAAUCCCAGAUCCCAGCCUACAGAUCCCAGUCCAGAUGUUUGUAUUCUCACAGGAAGGACAGAGGGAGCAUUUUCUUCUUCUAUUUAAUUCACACACGUUACAUUCACACACCAGAGGAGGUGCUGUACUGCAACCCUUCUAUCCAGACUAGACAGAGGAGGUGCUGUACUGCAACCCUUCUAUCCAGACAGACAGAGGAGGUGCCGUACUACAACCCUUCUAUCCAGACUAGACAGAGGAGCCCGUACUACAACCUUCUAUCCAGACUAGACAGAGGGGUGCCGUACUACAACCCUUCUAUCCAGACUAGACAGAGGUGGUGCUUACUGCUACAACACCUUUCUAUCCAGACUAGACAGAGGAGGUGGCUACUACAACCCUUCUCCAGACUAGACAAGAGUUGCUGUACUACAACCCUUCUAUCCAGACUAGACAGAGGAGGUUGCUACUACACAACCUUCUAUCCAGACUAGACAGAGGAGGUGCUGUCUACAACCUUCUAUCCGAGACUAGACAGAGGGGCUGUACUACAACCUUUCUAUCCAGACUAGACAGAGGAGGUGCUGUACUAUACAACCCUUCAUCCAGACUAGACAGAGGAGGUGCUGUACUACAACCCUCUAUCCAGACUAGACGAGGAGGUGCUAUACUACAACCCUUCAUCCACAGACAGAGAGUUGCUGUACUACAACCCUUCUAUCCAGACUAGACAGAGUACAGUUUCAUCCACAAUUUGUGUUGUUACAACACGUCAUUCACUCUACCAGAGGAGGUACUGCUACUGCACUGUGAUCCAUAUCCACCCAGUAUAGACUGUACAUCUCUGUCAAAUAUGGGCCUUUAUAGAGUAGUUUCAUCCACAGUAGUAAUUCAUUCAUUCCUGUAUCAACUCAACACGUCGUCCACAGCCUCAGGUAAGCCAUCCAGUCUAUAGUCUCGGUUGUGAUGUGGGGCUUUAUAGAGUUGACUUAUACAGUACCGAAUCUAUCCAUCUGUACUCAUCCAUACCACCUCAGUAUAGAAAUAUCCAUCUGUAACGCAUCCAUAUCCAUCUGUACUCAUCCAUAUCCACUCAGUAUAGAAUAUAUCCAUCUGUACUCAUCCAUAUCCACUCAGUAUAGAAUCUAUCCAUCUGUAUUAAUCCACACUCAUCCGUUCCGUUUAUGGU